AGAGAAGACUUAAUACAGUUUUUGUACUUUAUUUAAAAAAAACCUAAAUGAUUACUGUCAAUAUGUUUGCUAGUUUGAGAUUGAUCUUCCGAAUGGAUACACUACAUUUCCCAGCAUGCUACAGUCGGUGUAGCGAUAACCAGCUAUUCCUCAAAUACAAGCGGUUAGGCAGGGAAAACAGUCCGUCUUUCUGUCAAACUGUGUCAAGUUAGAUUUUUAUAGAUCAGAAACUGAAACAAAAGGCGACUGUGUGUCACAGAAACCCUGAAGAUCCCAUUUUCAACUGGUUUCAUCUGUUGUCUAAUUUCAGGAGCCUUUUAAUGCAUCACAGAAAACAUAAAAAAUAAGAUUCUCCAGGGACAGAUGACAACACAUAACUGCAAGAAUUUAUAAAAACAAGAAUUGGAUCCACAUGGUAGAAUGUAUUAUUUUUUUCUCUGACCCACAAGGCUUGAAAACUCCACACACACUGUAAAUGUGUGUAAAUGAAGAAAAUCCCCUUCAGAUUGAAGUAAAUGUUGAUUGACCUUCUUGCUGUCUGUAACAGAUCAAAGCAGACAGAAGGAGCGGAUCCGCGACCCGCUUCACACCAGAACCGGAUGUAUAAACCUCAUUCCCACACAUGAAGGAAAAGGAAGCACCUCAACCAGGAAGUCACGUUCCCAUCAGUGGUUUUACGGUUCACUUCUCUGAAAAACAAACAGUAUUUGAACACAUUAUUCAGCUAAUAAAGCAUAAAGGAGAAGCUUGA